UAGGUCAUUGUGUUUUACCAUGCAUCCACUUCAUUUUUGAGAAAAUAGGAGUGUCCAAUGUAACUAAAAGUCGUCCUGAAGGCAUAAACCAAUCAGAAGAGAGAACAGAAUUGUUUUAAUUAUUAAAUAACUGACAAAUGCAUGUAUAUUUAGAGAUAAAGUUUUACUUAAUGGACAAUGUAAACUAUGGUGGCCCUGAAAUGGAAAUUACACCAACAAAUCACUAAAUGCAAAAACAUAUUAAACAUCACAAUUAAAAAAGCAAAACAAGUACUAUAAAAACAUUACAUCUUAAAAAUCAGCCAAAUAAAAUUAAAUGAAAUAAAAUUGAAAAAAUUUGAAAAACGUAAGUGAAAUUCCAGAAAUCAAAAUGAAAUGUUAAAAAAUGAAACACAAUAAUAAACAGUAAAAGGUAGGUAAAGGGUAGAACCCCCGGGUGGUGGUGGGCGGCUUUUCUGGGGCUGGGGGUGCUGUCCGGGGGCGGGGUCACGGACUGGGCCACCUGGUGGGGGGAAAACUACAAUUCCCUUCAUUGAUGCUAUGCUUCAUUGAGUAAAAGAUGGAGAAAAAAAACUAUUUCAGCUUCACCUACAAUAUGUUAAAAUGACAGCUGCACACAUAAUUUCUUUGUGUUAUAUUUUACUAUUGAUCAAAAUAAACAGAAGUGGUGGUAUAAAACAUUUUUAUGUGGUUUUAUCCACACUAACAGCACUAAUGUCCCUUUAAAAACACACUGCAAACUCAUUCAUAAAGGUCAUGUUGGUUCCUUGAUGCUGCAACUGUGGACUCAAUUCAAGCCAAUCUAUAUAGUGUGUAGGAUUCUGACUUUUCCUUCCUUAGUCCAAUGAACUGAGGAAUUUCUAUUAAAGAAAAACAGAGACAUUUACCAAAAAGACUACAUGUUUUAUUACUGCUUGUAGCUUUUUUGUUCAAAUGUGAUCUGUACGUUUUCUCAGUCACAUUUAGCUUUAAGGUUUCAUAUGUUCCAUGCUGCAAUACAUUGUUCUUUUUUACUUGUGUGCGUUUGUACCUGCAGGCGGAGAACUCUGCUUUGUCACUGGAAAAUGACAACCAGAGAAAACAGUAUGAACGCUGUUUGGAUGAGGUUGCUAACCAGGUGGUCCAGGCACUCCUCACACAAAAGGUUUGUUUUUCUUCUGAAUCAAGGCAGAAUCAUAAAUGUAGUCAGUUAGUUAAGUUUUCUUCAAGCUUGAGAGCUAUCAUAUAAAUAAAUUUGGUAAUAUCUUACUGUGGAAGCAACAAGUAGGAACCCGCUUUCCUGAAAAGUUGAUGUUUUCUAAAAUACGUUAAAACCAAAGUCUGAUGUUUUUAUGUUAACCAAUUACACGCGCACUCCAUACCCAGGAAAACUGUUUGGUGUAAACGCCUGCCUUGCAAACCAUCAUGUCACUGUAAUGGAGUUAUAAAAAGAAACCUGCUGAGAGAACCUUAAAAUAUACACUCACUGGCCACUUUACUAGGUAAACCUUGCUAGUAUGGGGCUGGACCCCAUUUUGCCUUCUGAACUGCCUUGAUCCUUGGUAGCAUAGAUUCAACAAGGUACUGGAAACAUUCCUCAGAGAGUUUGGUCCAAGUUGACAUGAUAGCAUCACGCAGUUGCUGCAGAUUUGUCAGCUUCACAUCCAUGAUGCCAAUCUCCCAUUCCACCACAUCCCAGCUCUAUUGGUUAGAGAUCUGGUAACCAUGGAGGUUAUUUGAGUUCAGUGAAAUCAGU
ensembl:lncRNA